CUAUUUAAAAAGUAAAAAAAAUUAUAAUUAAUAGAAAGCAGAUAAAAGUCAAUACUACAUGAUAUAUAUAUAUAUAUAUAUAUAUAUAUAUAUAUAUAUAUAUAUGCCUAUGCUAUGCAAAUUGCAAUCCAAUUUAAAAAUUGGAUGGAAAGAGAUUUAAUUAGUACUAGAAUUGGAUUUGGCCUUUGUAGUUUUAAGGCCAAUUUGCAUAAAAAAUUCACUUAUUUUGAACUUUUGCAAAAUCGGGCCAUUUUUUUCAUUUUUGCAGAUUUGAUCCGCUUUUUCAGCAAACUAACCAAAAUACCCUUAUACCUUUUUCUCGAUCCUUUUUUUUUUCUCUCGUUCUUUUUUUCUUUCUCUUCCUAGAGAGCGGCGGAGGCGGCUUGUCCGGCGCAUCCUUAUCCUCGUCCGCACUUCUCGUCCUCUCCCUCUCCUUCCUCCUCUGCCGCCUCCGACGACGACGCAUCUUCGCCGACGCCGAUAAUAUGCCGACGAAUCCUUACCCUCGCCUGCACACUCCCGUACCUUCAUCGCCUCAGACCCUGCCGAGGCUGCGCCGCGACUCUUUUUUUUUUUCUCUUCGACUCUCCUCCACUGUCUCCGACGACGACACCUCUCUUGCCCUUCUUCGCCCUUCUCGUCAUCUCCCUCUCCCUCUUCCUCUGCCGCCUCUGACGACGAUGCAUCUUCGCCGGCACCGACACCGGUGCCGACACCGCAGAGGUCACUGCGGUGCUGCAGCCUCGGAGCGUGAGGUUCUUAGUUGCAUCGUCGUCGGCGCCGUGGAGAGGGGUGACCAAAAAAAAUUAUAAAAGAAGCAAGAAAAAAAAAAUAAAGAUAAAAAAUUAUAGAAAAAGAAUGAUGAAGAUGAAAUUAUAUCGUUAACUGCAAAAUAAAUUAUAAGUUGCACUACUUAAAAUAUAAACUGCAGUUUUAAGAUGAAAAUUACACUCUUAAAAUGAAAAUUACACUAUUUGGGAGAUAUUUACACCGUUUUUCCUCUGAUUGUACUCUUUCAGAUAUAAACUGCACUACUAAGAUGAAAAUUAUACUCUUUAAAUAAAAGUUGCACGGUUUCUCCUCUUGUUACAUCAUUUCUCCUCUUGUUACACUAUUUUUUAUCUUAAACUGCACCUAUUUAAGAGAUAUUUAUACUGUUUCUCCUCUUGUUGUACUAUUUUUUCUCUUAUUGCACUAUUUUUUCUCUUAUUACACUGUUUCUCCUCUUAAAGGGUGCAAUUUAAGAUAAAAAUAGUGUAACAAGAGGAGAAAUAGUAUAAUAAGAGGAGAAACAGUGUAACAAGAGGAGAAACAGUAUAAAUAUCUCUUAAAGGGGUGUAGUUUAAGAUAAAAAAUAAUGUAACAAGAGGAAAAAUAGUGCAACAAGAGGAGAAACAGUGCAACUUUCGUUUAAAGAAUAUAACUUUCAUCUUAAUAGAUGCAGUUUGCAUCUGAAAGAGUGCAAUAAGAAGAGAAACAGUGUAAAUAUCUCCCAUAGAGUGUAAUUUUCAUUUAAAAAGUGUAAUUUUUAUCUUAAAGCUGCAGUUUACAUUUUAAGUAAUGCAAUUCAUAAUUUUUUUUCAGUUAACGAUGCAAUUUCAUCUUCAUCAUUCUUUUUCUAUAAUUUUUUAUCUUUAUUUUUUUUCUUGCUUCUUUUAUAAUUUUUUUUGUCACCCCUCCCUGUCAACGGCCAUGGCGCUGGCGAUGAUGCCGCUGAGGACCCCUCGCUCCGAGGCUGCAGCGCCGCAGUGACCUCCAAGGUGUCGGCGCCGGCAUCGGUGCCAGCGAAGAUGCAUCGUCGUCGGAGGCGGCAGAGGAGGAGGGAGAGGGAGAGGACGAGAAGGGCGGAAGAGGGCAAGAGAGGCAUCGUCGUC
rnacentral:lncRNA from 1 species